UUUUGCAGUUAGAUCCUUAAAAGUUAAAACCAUGACAUAGUCCCAAGCUCACAGAGACGUUGAGAAAGAGAACAACAUCGCAACCCUUCUCGGUUUUUAGCUUUUCUCCCCUUUCUUCUCCAUCGCGAACCUGAUGACAGUGGCGGACGUGGCCGGUUCACCAUAACGCAAACUUUGAGUUGGCACCAGAGCUCUCAAUUUUGGGGCUUUGUUUCUGCUAAUGCUACUGUUGCUGUUGCCAUCAUCCACCGUCUGCCUCCUCUGCUGCCGUGUGUGUCCCACACAGGAGAUGACAACACUGACAGUUGCAUCACCUACAGAAACACCAUGUGCUGUCAUGCCCCACUACUAGAGUCAGUGUGUGUAGCCCAUGCACUUUGUUCUGGUGAAACCCUCCCACCGCUGCCACCACAGACAGGACCGCAAAUAUCCCUGAGUCCAUCCCAAGGGUGGUAACAUUGUGAAAAUUUCCCCUAUGGGACCUAAUUAUCUCCCAAAGUGGUGAGUGUCCGUACUGGUCAGGUCAGAUGGUCAAAGAUAUUUGUAGUGGAACUAGUAUAUUUGGAGGAUUCUAAAAAGGACAGUUAAAGUCAAACCACAUCAAUGGAG
rnacentral:sRNA from 1 species